AGAGUUUGAUCCUGGCUCAGAGCGAACGCUGGCGGCGUGCCUAACACAUGCAAGUCGAACGUGAAAGUAGCAAUACGAGUAAAGUGGCGUACGGGUGAGUAACACGUAGGUAAUCUACCUGAUUGUCUGGAAUAACCGGCCGAAAGGCUGGCUAAUACUGGAUAGAGCGAUGGAAUCCGUAAUUGGGUUUUUCGGGAAAG
rnacentral:rRNA from 1 species